rnacentral:rRNA from 1 species
GAUGAACGCUGGCGGCGUGCCUAAUACAUGCAAGUCGAGCGCGAGAGUGAGGAGCUUGCUCCUCAUGAUCGAGCGGCGGACGGGUGAGUAACACGUAGGCAACCUACCCUUGAGAUUGGGAUAACUACCGGAAACGGUAGCUAAUACCGGAUACGACUUUUCCACAUAAGUGGAAUGGUUAAAAGGCGGAUUUAUCUGCCGCUCAUGGAUGGGCCUGCGGUGCAUUAGCUAGUUGGUGAGGUAGUGGCUCACCAAGGCGACGAUGCAUAGCCGACCUGAGAGGGUGAUCGGCGACACUGGGACUGAGACACGGCCCAGACUCCUACGGGAGGCAGCAGUAGGGAAUCUUCCGCAAUGGACGAAAGUCUGACGGAGCAACGCCGCGUGAGUGAUGAAGGGUUUCGGCUCGUAAAACUCUGUUGUUAAGGAAGAACACUUGAGGUAGUAACUGGCCUUGAGAUGACGGUACUUAACCAGAAAGCCACGGCUAACUACGUGCCAGCCGCCGCGGUAA